rnacentral:lncRNA from 1 species
GGACGUGCAGUGAUGUGAGAGCCUUCGCUUCUUCUUAUGAACCUACUGACCAUCUCCACAAUCUGCUUCUCCCUCGCUUCUCUACGGAGCUUUAUAUCACCAUCAGCUCAAAGUGUGCUGCGCUUUGUCUCCAGCUCCUCUUCAUCAUCGACCUCCUGGGUCCGCCGCCGCAGCACCUCAUGAAGGCUGCACAGAAAUCUAAAGUGUGUUUUAAGAAGACAGACUGUGGUCAGUGGAGGCUCAAGACACCUGAGGAGUAUUGGGGUCCCGAUCUUUCAUCACAUGACGACAGGAAGUACACGUUCCGCUCUCUGGACGAAGGGAAAAUGGUCGGUGUGUGAGCUGGGCGCAAAAAGUGCCUUAAAUGAAGCGUCAUGUUGAGGAAGGUUAGUCUUGCCUGGACUUGACGACUGUUGUAUUUUCCACUUGUUUCCUAAACUAGCUGUGUCUGGAGCAGGACAACGUGACAGAGGCUGAUGAGAGGAGGGAGUGCAUGGAGCUGUUGAAGGAG